AGGCCUGUAGCUCCAAUUGGUAGAGCGACGGUCUCCAAAACCGUGCGUUGCAGGUUCGACUCCUGCCAGGCCUG
rnacentral:tRNA from 2 species